GACGAACCGUGCGAACGUUAUUCGGAAUCACUGGGCUUAAAGCGCGUGUAGGCGGGUCGGCGCGUCGGACGCUGAAAUCCCCCGGCUCAACCGGGGAACGGGCGCCGAAACGGCCGGCCUGGAGGGGGGUAGGGGGCGCUGGAACUCACGGUGGAGCGGUGAAAUGCGUUGAGAUCGUGAGGAACGCCCGCGGCGAAAGCGAGCGCCUGGACCCUUUCUGACGCUGAGACGCGAAAGCCAGGGGAGCGAACGGG
rnacentral:rRNA from 1 species